rnacentral:rRNA from 1 species
GAAUUGACGGGGGCCCGCACAAGCGGUGGAGCAUGUGGUUUAAUUCGAUGCAACGCGAAGAACCUUACCUGGUCUUGACAUCCACGGAAGUUUUCAGAGAUGAGAAUGUGCCUUCGGGAACCGUGAGACAGGUGCUGCAUGGCUGUCGUCAGCUCGUGUUGUGAAAUGUUGGGUUAAGUCCCGCAACGAGCGCAACCCUUAUCCUUUGUUGCCAGCGGUCCGGCCGGGAACUCAAAGGAGACUGCCAGUGAUAAACUGGAGGAAGGUGGGGAUGACGUCAAGUCAUCAUGGCCCUUACGACCAGGGCUACACACGUGCUACAAUGGCGCAUACAAAGAGAAGCGACCUCGCGAGAGCAAGCGGACCUCAUAAAGUGCGUCGUAGUCCGGAUUGGAGUCUGCAACUCGACUCCAUGAAGUCGGAAUCGCUAGUAAUCGUGGAUCAGAAUGCCACGGUGAAUACGUUCCCGGGCCUUGUACACACCGCCCGUCACACCAUGGGAGUGGGUUGCAAAAGA